UAUAAUUAACAAAAUUAGUCAGGUGAGCUC
rnacentral:piRNA from 1 species